UGAGGAAUAUUGGUCAAUGGCCGAGAGGCUGAACCAGCCAAGUCGCGUGAGGGAAGACGGCCCUACGGGUUGUAAACCUCUUUUGUCGGGGAGCAAAGCGAACCACGUGUGGUUCAUUGAGAGUACCCGAAGAAAAAGCAUCGGCUAACUCCGUGCCAGCAGCCGCGGUAAUACGGAGGAUGCGAGCGUUAUCCGGAUUUAUUGGGUUUAAAGGGUGCGCAGGCGGAGGUGCAAGUCAGCGGUCAAAUUGCGGGGCUCAACCCCGUACUGCCGUUGAAACUGCAUCCCUUGAGUGCGCGAGAAGUAUGCGGAAUGCGUGGUGUAGCGGUGAAAUGCAUAGAUAUCACGCAGAACUCCGAUUGCGAAGGCAGCAUACCGGCGCGCAACUGACGCUCAUGCACGAAAGCGUGGGUAUCGAACAGG
rnacentral:rRNA from 1 species